ensembl:lncRNA
CGCAAAGAGUCGGACACGACUGAGCGAUGGAACUGAACUGAACUGGACUGGAUGCCAUCAACACUGUUACACGGCAUGAUGUUCUACUAGCACUUUCCCCAGCUACACACGUGGGAGUACUAAGACACUCAGUGGUGUCUGACUCUGUGACCCCAUGGCCUGUAGCCUGCCAAGCUCCUCUGUCUGUGGAAUUCUCCAGGCAAGAAUACUGGAGUGAUUUUCCAUGCCCUGCUCCACAGGGUCUUCCCAACCCGGCGAUUAAACCCACGUCUCUUAUGUCUCCUGCAGUGCCAGGUGGGCUCUUUACGACCAGCGCCACCUGGGAAACCCCUCCUGAUAACAGGAUGCAGCUGGAUUUGGCCCCUGGGUCACGGUUUGCUGGCCCCUGUCUCUGUGAAAACUCCUGGACCUCACAUUCUGUGGAACAGCAGCUGACACCGGCCGCCACAGUCUCACGGAGUCCUGGGCCCUCCCCAACAAAGCAUGAGGAUAAUGUGCUGAAGCUGCGAAGGAGGAAAAAGUCACUCAUGAAAAGCUGAUGGAAACAUGUUGUUUUCAACUUCUAUGGGGAAUCUGGCAACAGA